AGUGAACGCUAGCGGUAGGCCUAACACAUGCAAGUCGAACGGCAGCACAGUAAGAGCUUGCUCUUACGGGUGGCGAGUGGCGGACGGGUGAGGAAUACAUCGGAAUCUACUUUUUCGUGGGGGAUAACGUAGGGAAACUUACGCUAAUACCGCAUACGACCUACGGGUGAAAGCAGGGGAUCUUCGGACCUUGCGCGAUUGAAUGAGCCGAUGUCGGAUUAGCUAGUUGGCGGGGUAAAGGCCCACCAAGGCGACGAUCCGUAGCUGGUCCGAGAGGAUGAUCAGCCACACUGGAACUGAGACACGGUCCAGACUCCUACGGGGGGCAGCAGUGGGGAAUAUUGGACAAUGGGCGCAAGCCUGAUCCAGCCAUACCGCGUGGGUGAAGAAGGCCUUCGGGUUGUAAAGCCCUUUUGUUGGGAAAGAAAAGCAGCAGGUUAAUACCCCGCUGUUCUGACGGUACCCAAAGAAUAAGCACCGGCUAACUUCGUG
rnacentral:rRNA from 1 species